rnacentral:rRNA from 1 species
CAGCAGCCGCGGUAAUACGAAGGGUGCAAGCGUUAAUCGGAAUUACUGGGCGUAAAGCGUGCGUAGGCGGUUUGUCAAGUCUGUUGUGAAAUCCCCGGGCUCAACCUGGGAAUGGCAAUGGAUACUGGCAAGCUAGAGUGUGUCAGAGGAUGGUGGAAUUCCCGGUGUAGCGGUGAAAUGCGUAGAGAUCGGGAGGAACAUCAGUGGCGAAGGCGGCCAUCUGGGACAACACUGACGCUGAGGCACGAAAGCGUGGGGAGCAAACAGGAUUAGAUACCCCCGUAGUCCCUGUCUCUUAUAC